rnacentral:rRNA from 1 species
AAGUGUGUUCAUACCAAUACUAAUACACAUGAUUCCAUCAGAACUUCACAAUUAAGCGUAUUUGGAAUAGGAUAGUACUAGGAUGAGAGACCUUUUGGGGUGCUUCCCAUAUAGUUU